rnacentral:rRNA from 1 species
UACGUAGGGCGCAAGCGUUGUCCGGAAUCAUUGGGCGUAAAGAGCUCGUAGGUGGUCUGUUACGUCUGCUGUGAAAACCUAGGGCUUAACCCUGGGCCUGCAGUGGAUACGGGCAGACUAGAGGUAGGUAGGGGAGAAUGGAAUUCCCGGUGUAGCGGUGAAAUGCGCAGAUAUCGGGAGGAACACCGGUGGCGAAGGCGGGACUCUGGGCCGAUACUGACGCUGAGGAGCGAAAGCGUGGGGAGCAAACAGG